AUGGCGACCCCGGGGGCGGAAGUGGAGCGGCGCAGGCUGCGGCGGAAGUUAGGCCGCGUUGCCACGGCGACCCCGAGGGCGGAAGUGGAGCCGCGCAGGCUGAGGCGGAAGUUAGGCCGCGUUGCCAUGGCGAUGAGCGGGGCCGUUCGGGGGUGGGAGCGCGGGGCUCGGUGGCCGGUAGCAGGCCGCUGGAGCCCGACGCGGAGCUCAAGAUGGACCCCGAGGCGCUCGUCCAGUGUCCCUACGACAAGGCGCACCAGAUCCGGGUGUCCCGGCUGCCUUACCACCUCGUCAAGUGCCAGCGGAACAACCCGCAGGUGGCUCGCUCGAUGGAGAUCUGUCCUUUCAACGCCAGGCACAGGAUCCCACGAGCCGAGCUGCAGAGACACAUUGCCUGCUGCCCCGACCAGCGCCUGCUCUUCGACUCUCGGGGGUCGUCCAUGUGCACCGGUGACCAGGCAAAGCAACCCAAGGUCCCCGUGGCCUGGCAGGCCCCCCCGUGCCAAGAGGACUGGGAGGCAGGUGAGUAUCCUUAGGGUGCUAAGUGGUGCCUCCCCCGUGCCCACCCAAAGCUGGCACAGCCCUGUCUCGUUACCCUUUGCAGAGGUCAGUGAGCUGGAGGAAGCUGCACCGUUUAUCCUCGACACCACUGUCAGUGAGCUGCCCCUCCAAGGAGACAGGUAG
rnacentral:lncRNA from 1 species